rnacentral:rRNA from 1 species
UGAGGAGUAUUGGUCAAUGGGCGAGAGCCUGAACCAGCCAAGUAGCGUGCAGGAUGACGGCCCUAUGGGUUGUAAACUGCUUUUAUGUGGGGAUAAAGUGCGUGACGUGUCAUGCAUUGCAGGUACCACAUGAAUAAGGACCGGCUAAUUCCGUGCCAGCAGCCGCGGUAAUACGGAAGGUCCGGGCGUUAUCCGGAUUUAUUGGGUUUAAAGGGAGCGUAGGCUGUCUAUUAAGCGUGUUGUGAAAUAUACCGGCUCAACCGGUGGCUUGCAGCGCGAACUGGUCGACUUGAGUAUGCAGGAAGUAGGCGGAAUUCAUGGUGUAGCGGUGAAAUGCUUAGAUAUCAUGACGAACUCCGAUUGCGCAGGCAGCUUACUGUAGCAUAACUGACGCUGAUGCUCGAAAGUGCGGGUAUCAAACAGG